rnacentral:rRNA from 2 species
CUCUGCUCAGGAUGAACGCUGGCGGCGUGCCUAAUACAUGCAAGUCGAACGAGUUCUGAUUAUUGAAAGGUGCUUGCAUCUUGAUUUAAUUUUGAACGAGUGGCGGACGGGUGAGUAACACGUGGGUAACCUGCCCUUAAGUGGGGGAUAACAUUUGGAAACAGAUGCUAAUACCGCAUAAAUCCAAGAACCGCAUGGUUCUUGGCUGAAAGAUGGCGUAAGCUAUCGCUUUUGGAUGGACCCGCGGCGUAUUAGCUAGUUGGUGAGGUAACGGCUCACCAAGGCAAUGAUACGUAGCCGAACUGAGAGGUUGAUCGGCCACAUUGGGACUGAGACACGGCCCAAACUCCUACGGGAGGCAGCAGUAGGGAAUCUUCCACAAUGGACGCAAGUCUGAUGGAGCAACGCCGCGUGAGUGAAGAAGGCUUUCGGGUCGUAAAACUCUGUUGUUGGAGAAGAAUGGUCGGCAGAGUAACUGUUGUCGGCGUGACGGUAUCCAACCAGAAAGCCACGGCUAACUACGUGCCAGCAGCCGCGGUAAUACGUAGGUGGCAAGCGUUAUCCGGAUUUAUUGGGCGUAAAGCGAGCGCAGGCGGUUUUUUAAGUCUGAUGUGAAAGCCCUCGGCUUAACCGAGGAAGUGCAUCGGAAACUGGGAAACUUGAGUGCAGAAGAGGACAGUGGAACUCCAUGUGUAGCGGUGAAAUGCGUAGAUAUAUGGAAGAACACCAGUGGCGAAGGCGGCUGUCUGGUCUGUAACUGACGCUGAGGCUCGAAAGCAUGGGUAGCGAACAGGAUUAGAUACCCUGGUAGUCCAUGCCGUAAACGAUGAAUGCUAGGUGUUGGAGGGUUUCCGCCCUUCAGUGCCGCAGCUAACGCAUUAAGCAUCCGCAUGG